rnacentral:lncRNA from 1 species
GUCGGGCGAUAGAUAUAUUAACUUGGUCCGUGCAAUUUCUGUUCCAGCAACUUGCAUUUGCAUAUGCAUUUGCAUCGCCAGCUGCUGAUGCGCUUAUGUCAUCGCCAUUUGGUUCAACGAUUCGACAAGCCUUGUUCGAUGUGCCUUGGUCGCCAGUUGUAAGUUACUAUUUGAGUCGCCAGAAUGAUUCCAUCGCUGCGUUCUUCCGUCACCUGGCUUGUGGUGCUGUUGGUCCUUCUGAUGGAAUUGGUUGAGGUGUGGUCUGUCUGCUGCUCCUGUCCAGCCAGACGAUGCUCCAUUCCCCAGUGGCCGUGCUGCGGCCGGAACGCCAAGUGGUAUAGUUUCAUAUAUGCUUAAGGAAUGAAGUUAAUAAACAGCAAGUGGAGGUAUUUUUAAAGUGUAAUAACAUCUUGGGUU